GAGAGAACUAGUCCUGACUCCCCAGGAACACUUCCGCCUUGCAAAAACAAAUGCCUCUCUGGAGGAAAGGUUGUUCUAGAAGCAAGGAGGUUGCUGUGACCUUGAUGAUGAUGAUGAUACAUCUUCUGCUUAUAAAAUGACAUCAGGUCCUAUUAUCCAUUUGAGAUCUGCAUAUAUCUCACAGCCUGAUUUGCUUGGAGGUUGUCACCUGUAUUUAUGGAAAGUUAAUGCAUGCAUACCUAACAUCCUUAAUGCUUCUGUUGUUCAGAAAAUGAACUUCAGCUUCUGUAUCUCCUCUCGAUGGCGAGAUAUGCCUCCAAGGCUCUUCUUAUAAGGAAGUUUUGGGGAGAAUCUGGAAUCAUUGGAACAAAAGACAGCCCAAUCCAAUGUUCACAGCAACCCCAAAAGAGACUUGUCCUUCUUGCUUUUACUAUCUGUGGACCCUAUUCUUCAACUUCGUUGUCAAUUCUCAGGCCAACACUUCCACUUUUAUUCUGCACUAGCAACUCUGUGGAACAGCUUUCACUUGUAAUGUGUGUAAAGGAAUAGAUCCAUAAAAAUCAAUUCUUUCUAUUACGUUGGUCCCUGUAAGGAAAAGAAGGAACCUUAUGCUCUUGAGGAGAA